rnacentral:misc_RNA from 1 species
UCCGGCUUAUCACCGGCGGUUUCCUUAGAGUGCCCAACUAAAUGGUAGCAACUAAGGACGGGGGUUGCGCUCGUUGCGGGACUUGACCCAACAUCUCACGACACGAGCUGACGACAGCCAUGCAGCACCUGUCUCCGGUCCAGCCGAACUGAAGAGCUCCAUCUCUGGAGCCCGCGACCGGGAUGUCAAGGGCUGGUAAGGUUCUGCGCGUUGCGUCGAAUUAAACCACAUGCUCCACCGCUUGUGCGGGCCCCCGUCAAUUCCUUUGAGUUUCAGUCUUGCGACCGUACUCCCCAGGCGGGGUACUUACUGCGUUAGCGACGGCACCGGGAGGGUCGCUCCCCCCGACGCCUAGUACCCAUCGUUUACGGCGUGGACUAC